UAGACUGCAGGAAAAUUGUUCACCGAAAACGACCCCCUACCAGUAACUUUAUCUCUUUUUGCAAUUUCUUUCCCCUCACCGCCUAUAAAUUUUAGCAUGCUACAUUCUCCUCCUGAUAAAAUUAUACAUCAUGGACGCGCCUUCAGCUCAAGAGAUGUCAUAUGCAGAUCAUAUUAAGAGGCGGCGCGAAGAGAAAGGCUGCCUCUAUGCCUGUUUGUUCGCGGCUUGUUGCUGCUAUUGCUGUUUUGAAAGCUGCGAGUACUGCUUGGAAACUCUCUGUUGUUGCUGCGCCUAGCGCCAAAAUUCUGUGAUGUUAUUCCAGUAGUUGUGUGUUUGAUAUAUACAAGUGAUUGUGUGAAUGGUUGUUCAAAGUAGAAAUUAUGUAGACAAUUAAUAUUUGUCUCAUAAUUUUUGGUGUAAAUUUGGUUCCUCCAUGUACUCAUUUCAGUCUCUGAGCUUUUGCCUAUUACUUGCUGUAAUGGAAAUUUGUUAAUUUGCUGCUUAAUUCCCCUGUAUUUGGUAGACAAGUAUUGAAAAGCUAUAGUGAAAUAGUACCUAAACCUCUUUCUUUC